CUUGUAUCUUGCAAGAACAGAGCAGUUUUUCACGUCUUUUAAUGUCAACAGAGAACUGGAGCUGGAUCAGAGCUUCUCCUAGUUUUUUUUUUGACAGGUUCAGAAUUGAAUUUUCAUCCUACUAAAGAGUCUGACUUAACGAUGACGUGCCACGGAGUAAACCUUCCCCCUUUGGACUGGACCAACAAAAACUGAUCAUGCUCUCCUCCAUUCAUCGCUGCAACAAACCCAAUAUUAACAGAACAGGCAUGUUUUGUGAGGGU